rnacentral:tmRNA from 1 species
UGGCCGGCUGGCCCCCUUAUCAAGCCGACUAAAACAAAACUGCCAACGACAAUCUCGAACUGGCAAUUGCUGCCUGAUCUUCAGGUAACAAGCGGGUGCCCGUGAUCUUCCGGUAGCGGGCCCCGAAAAACCUCCCAACGGGUGGCCUUGCGGCCUGCCGAAAGGAGGCACGGAAUGGGAAGCCGCAGCGCGCCUCUGCCGCUUCCGAGACAAAAGGCGCAAGGCCUUGAACAGGGUCGUCUGCUUUAACCCCUGUAGAGGCGCUACCCAAAGCAGACCAAGCCUGUGGAUGAGUUCUGGCUUCUAGCUUCUUGGACGUGGGUUCAACUCCCACCACCUCCACCA